UGGGGAAUAUUGCACAAUGGGCGCAAGCCUGAUGCAGCCAUGCCGCGUGUAUGAAGAAGGCCUUCGGGUUGUAAAGUACCUUCAGCGGGGAGGAAGGGAGUAAAGUUAAUACCUUUGCUCAUUGACGUUACCCGCAGAAGAAGCACCGGCUAACUCCGUGCCAGCAGCCGCGGUAAUACGGAGGGGGCAAGCGUUAAUCGGAAUUACUGGGCGUAAAGCGCACGCAGGCGGUUUGUUAAGUCAGAUGUGAAAUCCCCGGGCUCAACCUGGGAACUGCAGCUGAUACUGGCAAGCUUGAGUGUCGUAGAGGGGGGUAGAAUUCCAGGUGUAGCGGUGAAAUGCGUAGAGAUCUGGAGGAAUACCGGUGGCGACGGCGGCCCCCUGGACGAAGACUGACGCUCAGGUGCGAAAGCGUGGGGAGCGAACAGG
rnacentral:rRNA from 1 species